CUGAAGAAAACAAGAGAAGGAGAUGAGGCAUUAUUAGCUGGCUGUGGACUGAUUAGUUGUAAACAAUAACGUUAAAGGCCAUGUAUGCGAAUUGCAAUCAACAUCAUUGUGUUAAAACACAGCCAUAUUAUUUGCAGUGAGCCUACAAGCCCUGAUGGAGGCUGAGAUUUUUCUGUGCUGGGCACUGUACAAGUUCACAGGAAGAAUGAACCUGUCCUCAGCAACUGACACACUGAUGGAUUAUUUUCUGACAGCAAAAUUCUCCCCUGCAGUGCACAGAGCCAGGCUAAUUACACUUCCAUGGAGAGCAUCUGUGUAUCUAGGAGCUCCAGUGCCUAAAUUUCAGCUUGAUACAAUUUAAACUACUUGAAAACUUCACAGUCUCAGAAAAAAUAGAACCAUGAAAAAUCUGCAGGCAGGCAACUAAUAAGAGGAUUACUAAAUGCUACUAGUAAAUCUUAUAUAUCUAA